AACCCUAGCAGAAACCCUCCUCCAUGAAAACCAAUUCCUAGUGAGGCUUUUCUUCAAAUUCACGGAGGUUCCACCGGCGUCAGCGCCGCCUCGCCACCAAUUUCGAUUUGCACGACUACCGCGCUCCUUAUUCUAGAAGGAAAUCGUUCGCGUUCAUGUCAUCAUCACAGCUCACGUUCUUGCUUCCUGUUCGUGUUUAUCAUCUCGAGUGGUGCUUCCUGUUCAUGUCGUCUCCUUCGCUUCUCUCCCUCCUCGUGUCUCAGCAAUAGCCAUCAAAGAGAGUUUAAUUUGUCUUCUGCAACCUUGUUCAUCUUUUUCAAGCACAGAAUCUUCUUCUUCAGAAUGGAUCCCAAACAGAAGAUGAGAGUUAUUGCCUGCUUGAUUUUAUAUUUCAAAUUAAUGAAUGACCUUAUGGUUAAGUUAUUGAUGAUUUGCUAUGUUUUGAUUAUAUUGCAAUUGAAAAAAAAGAAAAGAAAAUGGAAUGAUAGUUACAGUAGGCAAGUAAUAAGGGAUGUUAGUGUCGAUAGAAUUAUUUAUUUUAGUGAUCUAGCAUGUAUAGAAAACACAAGAAUGGAUAGGUGUGCCUUUCAUGCAUUGUGUAACUUGCUUAAAAGGGUUGGAAGGUUAGAACCAAGUAGGAAUAUGGGUGUGGAAAAAAUGGUUGCCAUGUUUUUACAUGUUAUAGCACAUGAUGUCAAAAUUAGAGUAAUAAAGAGACAAUUUGUGAGAUCUGAAGAAACAAUUAGUAGGCGGUUUAAUGAUGUAUUGCUUGCUAUUUUGAGAUUCAUAAUCUCUUACUGAAGAAAUCUCAACCAUUUAGCCAGGAUAGAAUGGAUUAACGAUGGAAAUGGUUCAAGAAUUGUUUAGGAGCCUUAGAUGGUACUCAUAUCAAAGUCAAUGUCCUUGAGGCUGAUAAGCCUAGAUAUCGAAACAGAAAAGGUGACAUAACAACCAAUGUGCUUGGAGUGGUUGCUCCUGAUAUACAAUUUAUCUAUGUACUGGCGGGUUGGGAGGGUUCAACUGCGGAUUCUAGGGUAUUGCGAGAUGCACUAUUUUGCAAUGGGUUUAGUGUUCCCCAAGGUCAUUACUACUUAUGUGAUGCUGGAUACAUGAAUUGUGAAGGAUUUUUGGCACCUUAUAGAGGACAAAAAUAUCAUUUGAGUGAGUUUAAUUCACAUAAUCAACCCAGUACAGCUCAAGAGUUUUUUAAUAUGAAACACUCACAAGCUAAGAAUGUCAUUGAAAGGACAUUUGGAGUAUUGAAAGCAAGAUGGAGAAUUUUAAGGGGAAGAUCAUUUUAUCCUAUUAAGACUCAAGGAAGAAUUAUAACUGCUUGUUGCCUUUUGCAUAAUCAUAUUAGAAGAGUGAUGGUUGUGGAUCCUAUUGAUGAUAUAGAAGAUCAAAAUAUACUUGGAGUAGAUGGUGAGACGAUCCACCAUAUUGAGACAAGUGAUGCUUGGGGUAGAUAGAGAGAUCAACUUGCACAAGAAAUGUGGAACCAAUGGAGGAGAAGACAUCACGCUCGAUAAUUAUAAUAAUUUUUCUAUGUAUGAGGCUGUUUGUCGUAACAAUGAUUUUAUUUUGUUGAUGUGUUUGUGUUCUUGUAUAAGAGUUGUGUGUCUGUUAGUAAAUUUUAACUUUUUGAGACUUCUUUGUAACUUUAAUUUGGAUAAUA